rnacentral:rRNA from 1 species
GACAGAGGGUGCAAACGUUGUUCGGAAUUACUGGGCGUAAAGCGAGUGUAGGCGGUUUGGUAAGUCGGAUGUGAAAGCCCCGGGCUCAACCCGGGAAGUGCACUCGAUACUGCCAGGCUAGAGUAUCGGAGAGGUUGGUGGAAUUCUCGGUGUAGAGGUGAAAUGCGUAGAUAUCUGGAGGAACAUCAGUUGCGAAGGCGGCUCUCUGGACCAGCACUGACACUGAGGCACGAAAGCGUGGGGAGCGAACAGG